UCACUCUAACUUUCCUCAUCCACAAAUCUUUCAUCCUCGCUCAAAUUAAUGGGGAACUCUUCGCUUUCUCGGUCCGAAUCGCUCUCGCUGCUGGUGGCCAUGAUUGUAAACAAUGUUCAGAUGUGAGGAGCUCCACAUUGGCUUCUCACAGAGACACUGGCGUUCACCGCAGCCCUCCGACUUUCAGUGCUUCACUCUAACUUUCCUCAUCCACGAAUCUUUCAUCCUCGCUCAAAUUAAUGGGGAAAUCGUCGCUUUCUCGGUCCGAAUCGCUCUCGCCGCUGGUGGCCAUGAUUGUAAACAAUGUUCAGAUGUGAGGAGCUCCACAUUGCCUUCUCUCAGAGACACUGGCGUUCACCACAGCCCUCCAACUUUCAGUGCUUCACUUUAACUUUCCUCAUCCACGAAUCUUUCAUCCUCGCUCAAAUUAAUGGGGAAAUCGUCGCUUUCUCGGUCCGAAUCGCUCUCGCUGCUGGUGGCCAUGAUUGUAAACAAUGUUCAGAUGUGAGGAGCUCCACAUUGGCUUCUCUCAGAGACACUGGCGUCCACCGCAGCCCUCCGACUUUCAGUGCUUCACUCUAACUUUCCUCAUCCACGAAUCUUUCAUCCUCGCUCAAAUUAAUGGGGAAAUCGUCGCUUUCUCGGUCCGAAUCGCUCUUGCUGCUGGUGGCCAUGAUUGUAAACAAUAUUCAGAUGUGAGGAGCUCCACAUUGGCUUCUCUCAGAGACACUGGCGUUCACCGCAGCCCUCCGACUUUCAGGUAUGACGUUAUAAUCUCACUAAAACACUAGUAACACAAUAAGCAGAUAAGGGAUUUUCCUUGUUAAUGUGUCUAAUUACAUCUGAAUCGCUCAUGUCACCUUUUCUUUUUCUUUCUUUUUAGUGCUUCACUCUAACUUUCCUCAUCCACAAAUCUUUCAUCCUUGCUCAAAUUAAUGGGGAAAUCGUCGCUUUCUCGGUCCGAAUCGCUCUCGCCGCUGGUGGCCAUGAUUGUAAACAAUGUUCAGAUGUGAGGAGCUCCACAAACCUGUGACGUCACGCGCACAUCGUCUGCUACUUCCGGUACAGGCAAGGCUUUUUUUAUUAGCGACCAAAAGUUGUGAACUUUAUCGUCGAUGUUCUCUACUAAAUCCUUUCAGCAAAAAUAUGGCAAUAUCGCGAAAUGAUCAAAUAUGACACAUAGAAUGGACCUGCUAUCCCCGUUUAAAUAAGAAAAUCUCGUUUCAGUAGGAUUGUAAAUUGGCUAUUUCUGGCAACUUAUUUAAGUGUGUAUCAAACUGGUAGCCCUUUACAUUAAUCAGUACACAAAGAAGUAGGUGUAGGUUUCAAAAAGGUUGGUGACCCCUGCUCUAUGUUCACAUGAUACUGGUAGUUCACUCUAUCUUCUAAAAAAAAAAACGCUGAGUAGGAAGGUAAGGUAAGUAAGUAGUGUUUUUUUUUUCCAGUUCCAGAACCAAAAAGUGACAUCGGAGUUGCAAGCCGACACCGUGCACACCCGACACCUCUUGACCCUCCGCGCGCUCCGGGGUCAGAAAUAAUUAGGGGACGCCGUGCGCUCUCUCACCUGGUCGUCCAGCCGGUGGGCAACGAUGGUCGCCGCCUCUUCCUGCUCGCCAUCGCUGAGGGGGCGGAUCCUCAGGGCGACCUGGCGGGUAAUAAACACACGUUUCACCUCAGCGCAAACAUUAUUAUAGCACCUAACCCAGGGGUGUCGAACUCAAACACAGAGUGGGACAAAAUUUUAAACGGGUUGAACAAAUUAACCUUCCAUUUGAAUAUUUAUUUUAACUCGUAUUUACUUUUUUUCACCUUCUUUUACUGUCAUAGCUCGGUUGGUAGAGUGGCCGUGCCAGCAACUUUAGGGUUGCAGGUUCGAUUCCCGCUUCCGCCAUCCUAGUCACUGCCGUUGUGUCCUUGGGCAAGACACUUUACCCACCUGCUCCGAGUGCCACCCACACUGGUUUAAAUGUAACUUAGA